ensembl:piRNA 21ur-1996 ncRNA
UGAUGCUAAUGACAAAUAUCC